rnacentral:sRNA from 1 species
AUUCUGCCCAAGCGGGGAAGGAUGAGAAGGUUCGACUUGAGCGCCAGCGAGAGAGCGUUGCCGCAGGCAACGACCCGAAGGGCGAAGCGCGCAGCGCUGAGUAAUCCUUCCCCCACCACCA